AAAGGGAAACAGGCAGCAAAGCGGAUCACAGGGAUUCCACACGCACUACAGGACGAGGAAAGGAUUGAAGCACAUCACAUACAGCAAGGACGGAAACGGAAGAGAAAUUGAAGAAGCAAAGGAAGGCAACGUGAAGAGCAAAGCAAUCCAUCUUGGGUUUAUUCCUUUUCAUCAUGCUUGUUUCUUUAAAUAUUAUGUCUAGCUAAAUUUUCAUGAUUGGUCCUUAGGGGAUUCUAAUUGUUAUUUUUCUUGAACAAUGUGAUUAUCAUAUGAUAUGAUCAAUGAAUUACGAAGUUAGUUUCUUCAAUUAUUCCUUGUGUUUAAUGCUUUGCAUGACUUGAUCAAUUGUGUAAUGAUUUCAAUUAUUUGUUUUACUAUGACGAUAGGAAUGAAUGAUCGAUCUAGGAAUGAUUGAUCCAUUAACUUUCACUUAAGACAUUUCGGAUUGUUAAUUGAGAUUAAAAGAUUAAAGUUUAUAAACCUCAAUUGAUCAUAGAUUACCUAAGACAUUAGGAAUUGAUGAUCAAGAGAGAGGAUUCACUACUAGAAAAAAAUUGAAUUAAGACGGAAUUUCGGGACGGAAAAAUUUUCUGUCUCAAAAUUAUAUGAUUGGGACGGAAUUUGCGACAUAUUUUCGUCGCAGGUGAUUUUAUAAACAUUAAUUAAUUAUUAUGGGACGGAAUGUAAUUUCAGUCGCUACUUUGGGACAGAAUAUAUUAUUCCGUCACCAAUUUGUGGAAAUGGUUCCAUCAUUGAGAGAAAUUCUUUUAAUUUCACACGUUAUUUUCUUUACCCUCAAAUGAGAGAAACAAAAAACUCAAACCUCUUUCUAUGCUCUCUCGUCGGCCAGACCUUUUCGAUCCAGAUCCCGCCACCACUCAACCAGAUCGGAGAUAAAGACACACUUUUCGAGCUCCCCAUAUCGAGAUCUAUUUUUUGAGAGGACCAACUAUGUCGUCUGCCUCUCCACUGUUGUGAAAUAGUUUUGGUGGAACCACUAUGUUGGAACUCUACAGCCGCCCUGGUACGAUCUACUUCAAAGGGAUCAAUCCUCAAGUUACUGAAAUGAUGCAAAGAAGGGCCAUUGACAUCUAACUAGUUGACUAUUUCUAUGGUGCAAAAGAAGGGCCAUUGACACAACUUGAGAACAUAAUAUGAACAAUAGAUAAUAUGUGAGGAAAAUUUUCUUAAGCUAUGUUCACAACUUAAGUCUCUACCUCAACAUUAUGAGUUUGGUGAUGAAUGGAGUACUUUCUCAAGCCUAUUGAUUAUGAUGCAUUGCAUAAGGAUUGGAAACAUGUGUUCAUGCCUCCAAGAUAAUAGUGAUGACUUUGUACUUACAAUCUACAAAAUUAUUAUAAGUUUUAGUCUUUUGAAUGUAUUUUUAGAAUUUGGAUUAUGUAUAUGUUUAUAAUUGUAUCAGACAAAUAUGUAAUUGUUUAUUAGUUGAAUAAAAAUUGAUGAUCAUUACAUUAUGAAUUUAUAUUAUUGAUUAGUAAUUACUUUUAUCA